rnacentral:rRNA from 1 species
GAUGAACGCUGGCGGCGUGCCUAAUACAUGCAAGUCGAGCGAACAGACGAGGAGCUUGCUCCUCUGACGUUAGCGGCGGACGGGUGAGUAACACGUGGAUAACCUACCUAUAAGACUGGGAUAACUUCGGGAAACCGGAGCUAAUACCGGAUAAUAUAUUGAACCGCAUGGUUCAAUAGUGAAAGACGGUUUUGCUGUCACUUAUAGAUGGAUCCGCGCCGCAUUAGCUAGUUGGUAAGGUAACGGCUUACCAAGGCAACGAUGCGUAGCCGACCUGAGAGGGUGAUCGGCCACACUGGAACUGAGACACGGUCCAGACUCCUACGGGAGGCAGCAGUAGGGAAUCUUCCGCAAUGGGCGAAAGCCUGACGCAGCAACGCCGCGUGAGUGAUGAAGGUCUUCGGAUCGUAAAGCUCUGUUAUUAGGGAAGAACAAAUGUGUAAGUAACUAUGCACGUCUUGACGGUACCUAAUCAGAAAGCCCCGGCUAACUACGUG